GCAGAGUUCUCGGAGUCACGAAGAGUUGAUCCUGGCUCAGGAUGAACGCUGGCGGCGUGCCUAAUACAUGCAAGUCGAACGCUUUGUGGUUCAACUGAUUUGAAGAGCUUGCUCAGAUAUGACGAUGGACAUUGCAAAGAGUGGCGAACGGGUGAGUAACACGUGGGAAACCUACCUCUUAGCAGGGGAUAACAUUUGGAAACAGAUGCUAAUACCGUAUAACAAUAGCAACCGCAUGGUUGCUACUUAAAAGAUGGUUCUGCUAUCACUAAGAGAUGGUCCCGCGGUGCAUUAGUUAGUUGGUGAGGUAAUGGCUCACCAAGACGAUGAUGCAUAGCCGAGUUGAGAGACUGAUCGGCCACAAUGGGACUGAGACACGGCCCAUACUCCUACGGGAGGCAGCAGUAGGGAAUCUUCCACAAUGGGCGAAAGCCUGAUGGAGCAACGCCGCGUGUGUGAUGAAGGGUUUCGGCUCGUAAAACACUAUUGUAAGAGAAGAAUGACAUUGAGAGUAACUGUUCAAUGUGUGACGGUAUCUUACCAGAAAGGAACGGCUAAAUACGUGCCAGCAGCCGCGGUAAUACGUAUGUUCCAAGCGUUAUCCGGAUUUAUUGGGCGUAAAGCGAGCGCAGACGGUUAUUUAAGUCUGAAGUGAAAGCCCUCAGCUCAACUGAGGAAUUGCUUUGGAAACUGGAUGACUUGAGUGCAGUAGAGGAAAGUGGAACUCCAUGUGUAGCGGUGAAAUGCGUAGAUAUAUGGAAGAACACCAGUGGCGAAGGCGGCUUUCUGGACUGUAACUGACGUUGAGGCUCGAAAGUGUGGGUAGCAAACAGGAUUAGAUACCCUGGUAGUCCACACCGUAAACGAUGAGUGCUAGGUGUUUGAGGGUUUCCGCCCUUAAGUGCCGCAGCUAACGCAUUAAGCACUCCGCCUGGGGAGUACGACCGCAAGGUUGAAACUCAAAGGAAUUGACGGGGACCCGCACAAGCGGUGGAGCAUGUGGUUUAAUUCGAAGCAACGCGAAGAACCUUACCAGGUCUUGACAUCCCUUGACAACUCCAGAGAUGGAGCGUUCCCUUCGGGGACAAGGUGACAGGUGGUGCAUGGUUGUCGUCAGCUCGUGUCGUGAGAUGUUGGGUUAAGUCCCGCAACGAGCGCAACCCUUAUUACUAGUUGCCAGCAUUUAGUUGGGCACUCUAGUGAGACUGCCGGUGACAAACCGGAGGAAGGUGGGGAUGACGUCAAAUCAUCAUGCCCCUUAUGACCUGGGCUACACACGUGCUACAAUGGCGUAUACAACGAGUUGCCAACCCGCGAGGGUGAGCUAAUCUCUUAAAGUACGUCUCAGUUCGGAUUGUAGGCUGCAACUCGCCUACAUGAAGUCGGAAUCGCUAGUAAUCGCGGAUCAGCACGCCGCGGUGAAUACGUUCCCGGGUCUUGUACACACCGCCCGCCACACCAUGAGAGUUUGUAACACCCAAAGCCGGUGGGGUAACCUUCGGGAGCCAGCCGUCUAAGGUGGGACAGAUGAUUAGGGUGAAGUCGUAACAAGGUAGCCGUAGUCCUGUGUGAAGUGAUCCGCUAAUCGUCGACC
rnacentral:rRNA from 1 species